AGAGUUUGAUCCUGGCUCAGAACGAACGCUGGCGGCAGGCCUAACACAUGCAAGUCGAACGAGAAGCCAGACUUCGGUUUGGUGGACAGUGGCAGACGGGUGAGUAACGCGUGGGAAUCUACCCAGUGGUACGGAACAACUCAGGGAAACUUGAGCUAAUACCGUAUGAGCCCGCAAGGGGAAAGAUUUAUCGCCAUUGGAUGAGCCCGCGUCUGAUUAGCUAGUUGGUGGGGUAAAAGCCUACCAAGGCGACGAUCAGUAGCUGGUCUGAGAGGAUGAUCAGCCACACUGGGACUGAGACACGGCCCAGACUCCUACGGGAGGCAGCAGUGGGGAAUAUUGGACAAUGGGCGCAAGCCUGAUCCAGCCAUGCCGCGUGAGUGAUGAAGGCCCUAGGGUUGUAAAGCUCUUU
rnacentral:rRNA from 1 species